AUGACGUCUAUAAUGUAUGUAUACGUGUGUGCAUAUAUGGUGUACCAUUGUACUAUCGCACGAGCUCUCCUCUACACUUAUUUGCUGCGUGAUAUGUACGCACGACUACUACACUGACCCCACGCCACGUAUUUCUCGUAGAGAUCUCCUAGCGAGCGCACGCAUUCCCCCUUCCUCCCCCACCGCUCACCGCCUCCCUCCUUUUUCUCUUCGAAAAUUCGUUUCCUUUUUACCGUCCUUUUCUUCCUUUCUUCCUCUCUCUCUCUCUCUCUCUCUCUCUCUCUCUCUCUCUCUCUCUCUCUCGGCCCGGUCCUUAUUAACACUCCUAACUGACAUUCUCGGUAUUUCUUGAGAAAGAGAGAGAAGAGAGAUAGAGAAAGAUAGAGAGAGAGAGAAAGAGAGAGAAAAAGAAAGAAAGAGAGAGGGAGAGAGAGACGGACGAUCAAAUCCAACGGCUUUAUUUUAUUAUUGUGUGCGUAUGUAUAUGUUUCUAGGUCAGAACGAUAUCGGAUUUCUUAGGCUACCGAACGAUAAAUCUCCUUUCUCCGAUUCCGGUUAUUAGAGGAAGAAGAGUUAACAGAUUGAAGAAGCAACUUAUGCAGAAAUAUAAAGGGGAAAGACAAGAAACGCAAGAACUUACAGUCGAGCAGGAAGGAAGAAAGAAAGGCAGGAAGGCAGGAAGGAAGAUAGGAAGAAAGGAAGGAAGGAAGGAAGGAAGGAAGGAAGGAAGGAAGGAAGGAAGGGCGAAUGGGUGUGUUGGGAGGGAUAGGAGGAUGGAAAGUGGGAUAGAGGGCGGCCAUGGUGUUGCUGACCCGACGACCGCUCUAACCUUCCGUCCCGACGCCCCGCAUCCCGAUCACCACCAUCGAGAAUCCCGUCCUCUAUUUCGAACUGUAGUCCUAGACCAAUAAACGACUUUUGAAUAGUA